GCGGAGUUACUAAAAAGUAGCGACAACGAAAUAGUAAUGAUGUAGGCAUUCAAAAAAACCACAACCCUUAACGCGCAAGUCUACAGUCGAACUAUACGGACUCGGUUGCGAACCCAUCCUAGGCCAUCUUCUGCGGAUUCAAUCUUGUACUCAACGAAUGUGCUCCUCGUUUAGGUCCUAUCGUGACAUUCAAACGAAAAAUGAAAAAAUAGAGAUCAUCCUACUGAGCCGGUGAUUUGACUGUUGCGUUUCGAAAACGCAGACGCAUGCCCUUAUCUCGAACGCGUACCUAGCUAUAAACGCAAACAGGUGGCGUACGGUGCUAUCCCUUCGAUCCCUUCACCGUCUAUCGCAGAUAGAUACGCGCAGUUUCUCCGCAUCUUCGCUCUAUUUAGCACUCCGGCGUCGUCAAGUGUAGACGCCCCAUUUCGCUCUAUGGCUUCAGUGAUAAGCCAGUCGACCACCGGACGUUAGGAUGCGCGCCUUUUCACGAGCCUUCACGAGCUAGUGUUGUUGCUAGUGUAAGCAAUUCCGUAUCGUACAGCGAACGUGGCCUGUUUGUUUGUACGUGCUCGCUUUGCCGUGUGCUUGAGAAAGUGGGGCAAUCCGUUUAAAGUUGUUCUCUUGACCCAAAAGAUUUCGCAUUUUUACAAAGGAUGGGACCACGCGAAACCCGCAAACCGCUCCCAAAGGAAAUACCAGCCAACGUGUCUACGUUUCGCUUCGACGCAGCUGCACAAAGUGGAUUCCGACAUUGUGAGACGUACUUACCUUAUUUACACCUUUUGUUGGUUGUCAUUCUCACCCCACGUAACCCCACAUACGGCAACUACGGGUGGGCUUGAUGGCGCCAGUUGAACAUCUAAAGUGAAAGACUCCGAAUGCAGACUGCAAGCGUUUAACUUCCAAAAUAUACUCUAGACAGAAUGAAGACUAGCUCUUGCAGACGGCUUUUGUCAUAGAAGGCUUGCAUUCCCAGACAAAUCUGUUACUUGUUGUACUAUUUUUUCUGAUAGGGUGAUUUGAGCCUCAUGGCUAUUUGUGCAGGGAAAAAAGUGCAAGGAAUCUGUCUCGAUUGGUUAACAUUAACUGGUCGACAGUAAUUACGUGUUCGUUGAAUAUACACGCAUCUAUGCCGACCCAUCAUAGCUGUCCAGCGGAGAACGUAACGAGCCCUAACGAAACUUUUACUUGUCUGGCACUAUUCAUGUCGUGUACGUAUUUAUAGCUUGAGUUUAUUAAUCAAUUAUAGAACCAAAUAUUUUUAUUAAAGCGGCUCCAAAUUCUGUGAUUCAACGUGGGAAUGCACUAAGCAUAGGCUCUAAGAUUCUACUUGCUAUUCCUCGGAUCAAUCAUUUCGAGGACUGCGUAUUAUUGGUUCAGUUAAAUGGUAACGUUUAAUUAUUCUGAUGCCUUAUUGAUGUUUGCAAAAGUACAAAAAAAAAGCAGGACCAAAGGGUUUCUACUACGUUUUGUUGUUAAUGGACGAGACAUAAAUUAGUUCGUGUGAACAACCUGGGAAGGACCAAUCCAGAAAUUUUGGUAAGACAGGCGUUCAGUAUUACGUACCGGAUAAACUCGAGCCUACAGGUACCGCAGGCGUCAAGGGGUGCGGUUAUAGAUCUAAAUUAAAUAAUAGGUUAAAUAAAGAUUCUUUUUAAUAAGUAAACAUACUGGCUAAGUUGACAUAUUGAAGUAAUUUUAAGGUUGAAACGACAAGAUCUUUUGGCAGAGGUGUAGCUACAGCCUAUAGUGAAGAUCGUAAUAGUGAACGAAAAUUUCGCCUCCGUAUUUCCUAUGUAAAUCCACGUAAUUAACCUGGACGCUAUAAAACAGAACUAAUAAUAACGAUUACCUACAUAAAGUAUAUAAAUUAUAAUAAAUUAAGACACAUGAUUUUAUGUUUA
rnacentral:lncRNA from 1 species